GGUCGAGUAGUAUAACGGUUAGUACACGGCCUUCACAGCCAACGGCCUUACGGCCAAGAUCCGGGUUCGACUCCCGGCUCGACUA